GUGAAUGCCUUGGCUCUCAGAGGCGAAGAAGGACGUGAUAAGCUGCGAUAAGCUACGAUGAGGUGCAAAUAACCCGUGAGUCGUAGAUUUCCGAAUGGGGCAACCCAACUGAUAGAAGAUCAGUUAUCCUGUAAAGGAAGCAAACCCGGAGAACUGAAACAUCUAAGUACCCGCAGGAAAAGAAAUCAACCGAGAUCCCCUGAGUAGCGGCGAGCGAAAGGGGGUUAGCCCAAAAGUUUGUUAUGUGCUAGUGGAACAUUCUGGAAAGUUUGACAAUAGAGGGUGAUAGUCCCGUACACGAAAGCGCAUAGUGAAUGAAUCUGAGUAGGUCGGGACACGUGAUAUCCUGAUUGAAUAUGGGGGGACCAUCCUCCAAGGCUAAAUACUCCUGACUGACCGAUAGUGAACCAGUACCGUGAGGGAAAGGCGAAAAGAACCCCUGUGAGGGGAGUGAAAUAGAACCUGAAACCGUAUGCAUACAAGCAGUGGGAGCAUGAUUUAGUCAUGUGACUGCGUACCUUUUGUAUAAUGGGUCAGCGACUUAUGUUCAGUGGCGAGGUUAACCGUUUAGGGGAGCCGUAGGGAAACCGAGUCUGAAUAGGGCGAUUUAGUCGCUGGGCAUAGACCCGAAACCGGGCGAUCUAUCCAUGAGCAGGUUGAAGGUUGAGUAAUAUCAACUGGAGGACCGAACCCA
rnacentral:rRNA from 1 species